rnacentral:rRNA from 1 species
UACGGAGGGGGCUAGCGUUGUUCGGAAUUACUGGGCGUAAAGCGCACGUAGGCGGCUUUGCAAGUCAGAGGUGAAAGCCCGGGGCUCAACCCCGGAAUUGCCUUUGAGACUGCAUCGCUAGAAUUGUGGAGAGGUAAGUGGAAUUCCGAGUGUAGAGGUGAAAUUCGUAGAUAUUCGGAAGAACACCAGUGGCGAAGGCACCAUCCUGGGGAGUUACUGACGCUCGGGUGCGAAAGCUAGGGGAGCGAACGGG